rnacentral:rRNA from 1 species
UUUUUCCUACGGGAGGCAGCAGUGGGGGAUAUUGCACAAUGGGGGAAACCCUGAUGCAGCGACGCCGCGUGUGGGAAGACGGUCUUCUGGAUUGUAAACCACUGUCCCCAGGGACGAAAAUGACGGUACCUGGGGAGGAAGCUCCGGCUAACUACGUGACUGCAGCCGCGGUAAUACGUAUGGUGCAAGCGUUAUCCGGAUUUACUGGGUGUAAAGGGAGCGCAGGCGGCACGGCAAGCCUGAUGUGAAAGCCCGCGGCCCAACCGCGGGACUGCAUUGGGAACUACCGGCCUGGAGUGCAGGAG